ACCAGACUCCUACGGGAGGCAGCAGUGGGGAAUAUUGCACAAUGGGGGAAACCCUGAUGCAGCGACGCCGCGUGGAGGAAGAAGGUCUUCGGAUUGUAAACUCCUGUCCUUGGGGACGAUAAUGACGGUACUCAAGGAGGAAGCACCGGCUAACUACGUGCCAGCAGCCGCGGUAAAACGUAGGGUGCAAGCGUUGUCCGGAUUUACUGGGUGUAAAGGGCGUGUAGCCGGGCCGGCAAGUCAGAUGUGAAAUCCCAAGGCUCAACCUUGGAACUGCAUUUGAAACUGUUGGUCUUGAGUAUCGGAGAGGCAGGCGGAAUUCCUAGUGUAGCGGUGAAAUGCGUAGAUAUUAGGAGGAACACCAGUGGCGAAGGCGGCCUGCUGGACGACAACUGACGGUGAGGCGCGAAAGCGUGGGGAGCAAACAGGAUUAGAUACCCGAGUAU
rnacentral:rRNA from 1 species